rnacentral:rRNA from 1 species
UACGUAGCAGCAAGCGUUGUUCGGAGUUACUGGGCGUAAAGGGUGUGUAGGCGGUUGUUUAAGUUUGGUGUGAAAUCUCCCGGCUCAACUGGGAGGGUGCGCCGAAUACUGAAUGACUAGAGUGCGGGAGAGGAAAGUGGAAUUCCUGGUGUAGCGGUGAAAUGCGUAGAUAUCAGGAGGAACACCGGUGGUGUAGACGGCUUUCUGGACCGUAACUGACGCUGAGACACGAAAGCGUGGGUAGCAAACAGG